AACGAACGCUGGCGGCAUGCCUAACACAUGCAAGUCGAACGAGACCUUCGGGUCUAGUGGCGCACGGGUGCGUAACGCGUGGGAACCUGCCCUUAGGUUCGGAAUAACUCCCCGAAAGGGGUGCUAAUACCGGAUAACGUCUUCGGACCAAAGAUUUAUCGCCUUUGGAUGGGCCCGCGUUGGAUUAGCUAGUUGGUAGGGUAAAAGCCUACCAAGGCGACGAUCCAUAGCUGGUCUGAGAGGAUGAUCAGCCACACUGGGACUGAGACACGGCCCAGACUCCUACGGGAGGCAGCAGUGGGGAAUAUUGGACAAUGGGCGAAAGCCUGAUCCAGCAAUGCCGCGUGAGUGAUGAAGGCCUUAGGGUUGUAAAGCUCUUUUACCCGGGAUGAUAAUGACAGUACCGGGAGAAUAAGCGCCGGCUAACUCCGUG
rnacentral:rRNA from 1 species